rnacentral:lncRNA from 1 species
CUUUUUAUAAAAUAAAAUAAACUGAAUGUUUGUGCCCCUUUCACCAAAAUUCAUAUGUUGAAACCCAAUCCCCAGUGAGAUGGGAUUAGGAAGUGGGGGAUGCCAGGCUGGUUCAGUUGGUGGAGAAUGCAACUCUUGAGUUCAAGCCCCACAUUGGGUUUAGAGAUUACUUUAAAAAAAAAAAAAAAAAAAGCAAGUGUGGCCUUUGAGAGGUAAUUAGGUCAUGAGGGUAGAGUCCUCAUAAAUGGGAUUAGUGCCCUUAUAAAAGAAACCCCAAAGAGUUGGCUUCCCCAUCCCCCAGUGAGAGCUCCCGGCAAGAUGGCGGUCUGUGAACCAGGAAGUGGGCUCUCACCAGACACCAAGUCUGCUGCUGCCUUGAUCCUGGACUUCGGAGCAUCCAGAACGGGAAAUACUGAGGAUAAAGGAACAAGUUCAGUGCCAUCGCAAAGGCACAAGACAGACAAAUCCGGAAUAGAGGACGUUGUACAGGAUAACUGGGCUGUUUUCUUCAAAAAGUUCUUGGCAAUUAUGAAUGAAGCUACAACAGACAUCCUUGUACAGAUUUUUGUGUGAACUUGAGUUUCCUCUUCGCUUGGAUAAAUACCGAAGAGAGGAGGGGCGCCUGGGUGCUCUGUUGGUGGAAGCAUCUGACCCUUGAUUUCAUCUUGGAGUCAUGAGAUAGAGCCCUGCGUUGGCUCUGCCCUGAGCACGGAGCCUGCUUGAGACCAUCUCUUUCCCUCUCCCUCUGCCGCUCCCCACAUCUCUCUCUUAAGAAAUCAAUUAAAGGGGCGCCUGGGUGGUCCUGGGAUCGAGCCCCACACCAGGCUCUCUGCUCAGCGGGGAGCCUGCUUCCUCCUCUCUCUGCCUACUUGUGAUCUCUGUCUGUCAAAUAAAUAAAUAAGUAAAUCUUU